rnacentral:lncRNA from 1 species
CCCAGUUUUGUUUUUUCUAUUUUUUCAGUAACAUUAUUACUACUAUAGAAAAUUACGUGGGGAGGUUGGGUGGGUAAUUAUCAGGUGGUAAGUAGAAAACUUCAUUCAUAAAAUCUGAAUUUGAAAACAAAUUUAGAAUUUCAUUUCAUUCAUUUUCUACUUACCACCUGAGAAAUAUACAUACGGAUAGAUUACAAAGCCUUACCUCUCUGGUGGUAGGGUAAUUUUCUAUGGCUCUGCGUCUCUUCAUCCUGGGUAUAAUCUCUA